AAAGAAUUUCCUUCUUACAUCCAAUCUAAACUUCCCCUGUUUCAGUUUUAACCCAUUACUCCAUUACAGCUCCCGUUCUUGCCCAAGGAACAAACCUGUUUGAGAUGUGAAUGUCUGUUCCCCAGGGGCAGGAGAGAGCCCUGACUCCCGGGCCCAGGGGUGAGCACACGGCAUGGUGCCCUUCCAGAGGCUCAUUGCUGGUAUGGAAUCCGGAGCAGGCUGUAGGUAAAGCUGCUCCUGAUGGGCUGUAGAUACUGCAGCAGUAUUGGAGCCACUGGCAGUAAACUGGAGACAAAACCCAGGAGUUAGGGAAAAGUCUGUAAAAUCCCAUCAUGGUCAUUUUGUCCCUUCCCAAACCCUUUGGGGGAUUUACUGCACAUGACUGGCCCCUGUGCAGUGAUGCUGGUGGUGGUCAGGGUGGGCUCCUGGCUCUUCAUUGGUGCCAUUGGUGGCUCCCUAUGUGCAUGUCGGGAUUGUCUGAGAGAUGCUGGGGUGGAACAGAGCUGCUGGGCAGUGGGGAUAAAUGGAAAGAAUAGGAAGUGACUGCGCUGGGCACUGGGAAGCACAGACUGGUCCCAUGUGGAAAGUGUGUGGCUGUUUGGAACUGAAUGGAGGGGUGCUGGGCACUGCUUGGUCACCACUGCCUGCAGAGGGAGAAACAGGAUAGCAAGUGUCAAUCUAAUGCUGCCUAGGGCAGGGUGCAGGUAGAACACCUCCUGAGCUCCAGCCCUGUCUGCUGGGAUGGGUUCUCUGUGCUUCUGCCUCCUCAGCAGAGAGUAAACCAGGAGCAUGGGGGUUCUUUAGGAAUUUACCCCAAAGAGCUGGUGGUUCCUUGGAGCACCAGGGGUGAGUGUGCUGGUGCUCAAGCCUCUCCUGUGGACCUUUGUGUUGCCACAAGCAGCCAUGUAGCUCCUGAACAUUCAGUUCCUAAAAGUGAGCGUAGUUGUUCCAAAUGAUGUGUGUUGGAAGUAAACGUUAACUAGUAUUAAUAUUAAUUAACUGUUAUGUUUGUUUUGUACUGUGGUGGGACAUCAGUCACGCAGUUUCUCACAGCUCAAGGUCUCCUAAGACCAACAAUCGAGGACACGUGGUGGAGUGACCACAGAUCCACUGAAUCCCAGGGGAUCUCUAAAGGACAGGCUUUUUGAGCAAAGGAGCAGGUGCCAUGGAAGCCCUGGCCAGCUGUGUGCACAUCUGGAGCAAGGUCUGGCAGAGGUGGUGGUAUAAGGAGUGCCCAAGGCGCUGUGCCCUCCGGAAUAAGCGCACUGCAAGGUUUCAUUUUGAAAAUGCUUUAAUAAGGAAGUGUUGACAACACCGUUCUGCAAAAUGUAAAGGUAACUAUACAAAUUCUUAAUACAAAAAGAAUAAAUUAAAAGCAGAUCUGUUUUAAUUCUGCAACUUUUUCUACAACAUCCAUAUCUUUUUGCCUUGAUUACAGUUGAACAGAAUCCAGUCAAAUCAUUUUCCAUGCUCUAAAGUCAAUUUUAGGAGAGACCUAAUGUUUUUUUUCCUUAUUUUUCCUUCUUUUUUAUUUUUUUUUAAACUAGAGAGUCCAUUUUACACAACUCGUAAUAAAACUAUUGACAUUAAUAUAUAUGUAAAACUUUACAUCUAGUUAACUAAGCAGUAACUGGUCAUCUGAUAGCACCUGAAUGGGUAUCGGCUAUGCCUGAAACUAAAACUAAUACAGAGUGAAAACAAAUGGGACUGUUUCAACAUCUUCAACACUCGACUGCAUAUAGGAUGAUGGCAAAAUAAACCCUGCCUCCCUCCAGCACGGCCCAGUGCGGGAUUAGCUCCCGGCUGAGCAUCAGACACGUAGACUCGGAACGCGAUUGUGGCUUUAUGUCGGAUGGAGCCUUGGAAAACAAAAAAGGACAGGAGGGGUUAAGUUGGUAGUCAAGUGCUUGUCUAUAAUAGCUAUGUAUAUACCCCUCCGCGUUAUACUUAAAUAUGUUAAUCUCAUCUGAUUAACAUUUUAUGUACAUUUGUGUUUUAAUUGAAUUGAGCUAAACAGUAAAACCUGUUUUACUUUAA